rnacentral:rRNA from 1 species
GGGGGGGGGGGGGGGGGGGGGGGGGGGGGGGGGGGCGGGGGGAGGGGGGGUGCGGGGGGGGGGUGCGCGGGUGGCGAACGGGUGAGUAACACGUGGGUAACCUGCCCUUGACUUUGGGAUAGCGUCAGGAAACUGGGGCUAAUACCGGAUAGGAGCUCCUGCUGCAUGGUGGGGGUUGGAAAGGUUCGGCGGUUGGGGAUGGACUCGCGGCUUAUCAGCUUGUUGGUGGGGUAGUGGCUUACCAAGGCUUUGACGGGUAGCCGGCCUGAGAGGGUGACCGGCCACAUUGGGACUGAGAUACGGCCCAGACUCCUACGGGAGGCAGCAGUGGGGAAUAUUGCACAAUGGGCGGAAGCCUGAUGCAGCAACGCCGCGUGCGGGAUGACGGCCUUCGGGUUGUAAACCGCUUUCGCCUGUGACGAAGCGUGAGUGACGGUAAUGGGUAAAGAAGCACCGGCUAACUACGUG